UAACAGCCUGCCCACCCUGGAAACGGCUC
rnacentral:snRNA from 1 species